rnacentral:rRNA from 1 species
AUGCAGACACUCGAUUUUCCCAACAAGACAUACAGCAAGAUAUUGCACAUACCUUCCCUUGGCCUUGGUCUUGUGCUGCUGAUAUGCUUGGCCUCUCCUACCAGUUCCUGCACGGAGCAGGAGAAGGGCUCCCUUCUCCAGUUCCUUGGUGGGCUCUCACAAGAUGGUGGCCUCGCUGUGUCAUGGAAUAAUGGCUCGGAUUGCUGCCAGUGGGAAGGGAUCACCUGCAGCACAGAUGACACUGUUACAGAUGUCUUGCUGGCUUCUAGAAGUCUUCAGGGGCACAUCACACCUUCUCUUGGGAACCUCACUGGAUUGCUGCGCCUCGACCUGUCAAACAAUCUGCUAUCCGGUGGUCUACCGCAGGAACUGGUAUCCUCCAGCAGCAUCCUCAUCGUAGAUGUCAGCUUUAACCGUCUUGGAGGAGAGCUGCAUGAGUUGUCGUCUACCCAUGCCCGGCCACUGAAGGUACUGAACAUCUCGAGCAAUUUGUUUACAGGACAGUUUCCGUCCUCCACAUGGCAGGGGAUGAAAAAUCUGGUUGCACUCAAUGCCAGCAACAACAGCUUUACUGGGCAGCUACCAACUCAUUUCUGUGCCAGCUCGCCAUCCUUGGCAGUGCUCGAACUCUGCUACAACCAAUUCAGAGGGAGCAUUCCCCCACAACUUGGUAGCUGCUCCAUGCUCAGAGUGCUCAAGGUUGGCCACAACCACCUCAGUGGGAGUCUCCCGGACGAACUCUUCAAUGCUACCUUGUUAGAAUACGUCUCCUUCCCCGGGAACAGUUUACAAGGAACACUUGAAGGCUUGCAUUUUGGUAAACUCAGUAAUCUGGGUACUUUUGAUCUUGGAGAGAACAACAUCAGUGGCAAGAUUCCGGAGUCUAUAGGUCAUCUCAGGAGAUUGGAGGAACUCCAUUUAAACAACAACCACAUGUAUGGGGAGCUGCCAUCGAGUCUGACCAACUGCACAAAUCUCAUAACCAUUGACUUCAAGAGCAACAAUUUCAGCGGGAAACUCGCCAAGGUCAAUUUCUCCAACCUAUCCAAUCUAAAAACUAUAGAUCUUAUGUACAACAGCUUCAGUGGCGAAAUUCCAGAAAGCAUCUACUCAUGCAGCAACCUAAUUGCACUGCGUCUGUCUUCCAAUAAGUUCAAUGGCCAGCUGUCAGAAAAAAUAGGCAAUCUAAAGUCCCUCUCAUUCCUAUCACUUGCUAACAACACUCUUACAAAUAUCACAAGUGCACUUCAUAUCCUUAAGAGAUGUAGAAAACUUACAACCCUGCUUAUUGCGUUCAACUUCAGGGGAGAAAUCAUGCCAGAGGAUGACAUGAUUGAUGGUUUUGAAAAUCUUCAGUUUUUUAGUGUCGAUGGAUGCGGAUUGUUUGGACAAAUACCUCAAUGGAUAUCGAAGCUAGCAAAUUUAAAAAUAUUAAUCUUGUCUAACAAUCAACUCACUGGAUCAAUACCAGCCUGGAUCAAAACCCUAAGCAACCUGUUCUAUCUGGGCAUAUCAAACAACAGCCUCACAGGGGGGAUUCCAACAGCCCUUAUGGAUAUGCCAAUGCUAAAUUCAGAUAAGAGUGAAGCCCAUUUAGACCCAAGGGCAUUUGAGCUACCUGUUUAUUAUGGUCCAUCACUACAAUACCGUGUACCUAUUGCUUUGCGUAAUGUGCUAGAUCUAAGCAACAACAAAUUCACUGGUCAAAUCCCCCUCGAGAUUGGUCAGUUGAAAGCCCUCCUUUCACUCGAUUUCAGCUUUAACCACUUGACAGGACAAAUCCCACAAUCAAUAUGCAACCUCACAAACCUGCAGCUGUUAGACUUGUCAAGCAAUAAUCUAACAGGUGGAAUUCCAGAUGCAUUGAAUAGACUGAACUUCCUUUCAGCAUUCAACAUUUCAAACAAUGGCCUAGAAGGGCCAAUUCCAUCUGGAGGCCAGUUUAAUACAUUUCAGAAUUCUAGUUUCCUUGGGAAUCCAAAGCUGUGUGGUCCUAUUCUCACUCAUGAAUGUGGUUCAGAUUCAAUACCUCCAUCCUCCAGAAAAAAACGAGAUAAGAAGGCUGUUUUUGCAAUUGCAUUUGGCGUGUUCUUCGGAGGCAUUGCUAUUCUUUUGUUGUUGGCACGUCUCCUUGUCACAAUCAGGAAGAAGGGUUCUAUGGCAAAACAUAGAAGGGAGAGUAACGAAGAUGUUGAAGCAACUUCAUUCUACUCCAGUUCAGAGCAAACAUUAGUCGUCAUGUGGAUGCCCCAAGGCAAGGGAGAAGAAAGCAAGCUCAAAUUCACUGACAUUUUGAAAGCUACAAACAAUUUUGACAAGGAGAACAUCAUUGGUUGUGGAGGUUAUGGAUUAGUAUACAAGGCAGAGCUACCUGAUGGCUCCAAGCUGGCAAUCAAAAAGCUCAACAGUGAAAUGUGUCUUAUGGAAAGAGAGUUCAGUGCAGAGGUUGAUGCUCUUUCCAAUGCACAACAUGAAAAUAUUGUGCCGCUGUGGGGUUACUGCAUCCAGGGAAACUCAAAGCUCCUCAUAUAUUCCUACAUGGAAAACGGCAGCCUGGAUGAUUGGCUUCAUAACAGGGAUGACGAAGCUAGCUCAUGGCUUGACUGGCCAACUCGGCUGAAGAUCGCGCAAGGAGCAAGCCUUGGCCUUUCCCAUAUCCAUGAUGUCUGCAAGCCUCAGAUUGUCCACCGUGACAUCAAAUGCAGUAAUAUCUUACUGGACAAAGAAUUUAAAGCUUAUGUUGCAGAUUUUGGGCUAGCCAGAUUGAUCCUUCCCAACCAAACUCAUGUUACGACUGAGCUGGUCGGUACUAUGGGUUACAUUCCCCCUGAGUAUGGGCAAGCAUGGGUUGCUACGUUGAGAGGUGAUAGGUACAGUUUUGGAGUAGUCAUGCUUGAGCUGCUCACUGGAAUACGACCUGUCUCAAUCCUAUCAACGUCAAAAGAACUUGUCCCAUGGGUGCUGGAGAUGAGGUCUGAGGGGAAGCAGGUUGAGGUCCUGGAUCCAACACUUCGAGGCACAGGAUGUGAAGAUCAAAUGUUAAAGGUGCUUGAAGCUGCUUCCAAAUGUGUCGACCACAAUCAAUUCAUGAGGCCAACCAUCAUGGAAGUUGUCUCCUGCCUGGCCAGUAUAGAUGCUGACCCGCAGAUGCGAAAAUCAGCCAAGAUACAAUGA